rnacentral:rRNA from 1 species
AUGCAAGUCGAACGGCAGCACGGGAGCAAUCCUGGUGGCGAGUGGCGAACGGGUGAGUAAUAUAUCGGAACGUGCCCGGUCGUGGGGGAUAACGUAGCGAAAGCUACGCUAAUACCGCAUACGAUCUACGGAUGAAAGCGGGGGAUCGCAAGACCUCGCGCGAUUGGAGCGGCCGAUAUCAGAUUAGGUAGUUGGUGAGGUAAAGGCUCACCAAGCCGACGAUCUGUAGCUGGUCUGAGAGGACGACCAGCCACACUGGGACUGAGACACGGUCCAGACUCCUACGGGAGGCAGCAGUGGGGAAUAUUGGACAAUGGGCGCAAGCCUGAUCCAGCAAUGCCGCGUGCAGGAUGAAGGCCUUCGGGUUGUAAACUGCUUUUGUACGGAACGAAACGGUGAGCUCUAAUACAGUUUGCUAAUGACGGUACCGUAAGAAUAAGCACCGGCUAACUCCGUG